rnacentral:rRNA from 1 species
CAGUCGCCGCGGGAAUACAGAGGGUGCAAGCGUUAAUCGGAAUUACUGGGCGUAAAGCGCGCGUAGGUGGUUUGUUAAGUUGGAUGUAAAAGCCCCGGGCUCAACCUGGGAACUGCAUCCAAAACUGGCAAGCUAGAGUACGGUAGAGGGUGGUGGAAUUUCCUGCGUAGCGGUGAAAUGCGUAGAUAUAGGAAGGAACACCAGUGGCGAAGGCGACCACCUGGACUGAUACUGACACUGAGGUGCGAAAGCGUGGGGAGCAAACAGGAUUAGAUACCCCAGUAGUCCCUGUCUCUUAUAC